rnacentral:tRNA from 1 species
GGGCCCUUAGAUCAGUCCGGUAGAUCGCUCCCUUGGCAUGGGAGAGGCCGGGGGUUCAAAUCCCCCAGGGUCCA